GGUUGGUUAAUCCGAUCAAUUCAUUGAUGGUCGCGUCUGAUUAGCUCGUUGGUAAGGAAAUAGCUUACUAAGACGAUGAUCAGUAGCUGGUUCGAGAGGAUGAUCAGCCACACUGGGGCCGAGACACGACCUAGACUCCUACGAGAA
rnacentral:rRNA from 1 species